rnacentral:rRNA from 1 species
GCAGCCGCGGUAAUACGGAAGAUGCGAGCGUUAUCCGGAUUUAUUGGGUUUAAAGGGAGCGUAGGCGGGCUGUUAAGUCAGCGGUUAAAUGUCAAGGCCCAACCUUGUCGUGCCGUUGAAACUGGCGGUCUUGAAUGCACACAAGGGAGAUGGAAUUCGUCGUGUAGCGGUGAAAUGCUUAGAUAUGACGAAGAACUCCGAUUGCGAAGGCAGUCUCCUGGGGUGCUAUUGACGCUGAGGCUCGAAAGUGCGGGUAUCAAACAGGAUUAGAUACCCC